GAUGAACGCUGGCGGCGUGCUUAACACAUGCAAGUCGAACGAUGAAGCCCAGCUUGCUGGGUGGAUUAGUGGCGAACGGGUGAGUAACACGUGAGUAACCUGCCCUUAACUCUGGGAUAAGCCUGGGAAACUGGGUCUAAUACCGGAUAGGAGCGUCCACCGCAUGGUGGGUGUUGUAAAGAUUUAUCGGUUUUGGAUGGACUCGCGGCCUAUCAGCUUGUUGGUGAGGUAAUGGCUCACCAAGGCGACGACGGGUAGCCGGCCUGGGAGGGUGACCGGCCACACUGGGACUGAGACACGGCCCAGACUCCUACGGGAGGCAGCAGUGGGGAAUAUUGCACAAUGGGCGCAAGCCUGAUGCAGCGACGCCGCGUGAGGGAUGACGGCCUUCGGGUUGUAAACCUCUUUCAGUAGGGAAGAAGCGAAAGUGACGGUACCUGCAGAAGAAGCACCGGCUAACUACGUG
rnacentral:rRNA from 1 species